rnacentral:rRNA from 1 species
CGAACUAAUACCGCAUACGCCCGUACGGGGAAGCGGGGGACCUUCGGGCCUCGCGCUAUCAGAUGAGCCUGCGUAGGAUUAGCUUGUUGGUGAGGUAAAGGCUCACCAAGGCGACGAUCCUUAGCUGGUCUGAGAGGAUGAUCAGCCACACUGGAACUGAGACACGGUCCAGACUCCUACGGGAGGCAGCAGUGGGGAAUAUUGCGCAAUGGGCGAAAGCCUGACGCAGCCAUGCCGCGUGUGUGAAGAAGGCCUUCGGGUUGUAAAGCUCUUUCGGCCGGGAAGAAAUCGCACAGGUUAAUACCCUGUGUGGAUGACGGUACCGGAAUAAGAAGCACCGGCUAACUACGUG